UCCCUGGUGGUCCAGUGGUUAAGAAUCUGCCUUCUAAGGCAGAGGACACUGGUUUGAUCCCUGUUGAGGGAA
rfam:TPA: Bos taurus chromosome 23, whole genome shotgun sequence.